AUAUAUAUAUAUAUUCACUUUAUCAAUCCUCAUAUAUGAUCUAAAAAUACGUGCAGACAUUUGUAGAUCAGUAACUGUUCUCUCACUGAUUUAUCCAUAAAUGUGAGUCUGUACCAGGAACAUCUGUGUGUGGUAGUUCUCGGGUGCCAGGGUUUGAAAGCAUGGCAAAUUCUGAGAACAGAUGAUAUUCAAUAUGGAAGAUGGUGGCACUAAGUGAAACUAUGUCAAAUUGUAAUGGAAAUGGCGUCAUAUAAUGCUACGCUCCAUAUUUCUAAGCCAUUGCUCAAAAUGUAAUUGCUUCUCUUUGAUCCAGGUGCCAUCUGUGUAAGCUGUAGGAUUUAUGCUGAAGUCGGCUGCAUAUCUGCCUCCUAAAAAAGUACUCUUAUGCUCUGUUUCUUUGAUACUUCUCAGUAAGGGUUAAUGUUUUCAUCAGUACAGUUAGUUUGAUGCUGUGUUUCUCGUCUAAUUUUUCUAGUUUAAGCGUGUUAUUUUUCCAUCCAUCCAUCCAUUUUCUUCCUCUUAUCCGGGGUCAGGUUGUGGGGUUAGCAGCUUCAGGGAGGCCCAGACUUCCCUCUGCCCAGCCACUUGUUCCAGCUCCUCCGGGGGAAUCCCGAGGCGUUCCCAGGCCAGCCGGGAGACAUAGUCCCUCCAGCGUGUCCUGGGUCUUCCCAGUGAAAAAAAUAAAUAAAUAGGUGAUGCUGGUUAUAAAUGUUUUUUUCAGCUUUAAUUUCUAGUUUAAUCAACAGACUUUUCUAGCAAUAACAGCCUAGCAUAGCAAAAAACAUGUUUUUCUUGUGAUUUGAAACAUUUGUCAAUAAAGUGUGUUUAACAUUAUUUGUUAUGUUAAACAGUAAAGUGAAGCAUGUUGGGCCGCAAUGCUUAUAAUUCACUGGGGGAAACCUUGGGGUGACUGUGGAUCAGUGGAUACAGUCGUUGUCUUGCAAUUUUAAGAUUAUAUGCUGGGAUGUUAUCACUUUGCAUUUGCAUCUUAUUUCCUUAUGAAAAAAUAAUUAGCUCCCGUGUUAUAGAGGGGGGACAGAUUAUUUCAGGCAGCUGAAAUAUUUGGUUCCCCCCUCAUAACUUUGGCAAAUAAAAGACCAAAUGUUUUCAAAUUCUCAAAGAUUGCUAUGUGUGAUCGUCUGAGCCACCAAAUCAGUCUAUCAACUAGAAAUUUCUUUUAUCCAGUAAUCUGUCAAACUUUACAUUAGAACGGGGUUUUCCAGAAAGCCUUCACUUCAGAAAGUCUUCAUUUUUUUAUGCCCUGCUGCCAGUUUCCAUUCUUUUAUAUCAGCCAUGAUAUAUGAUACAUACACACAAUGUGUUGGAAACCUGUGUUUGCUGACUGAAAACAACUUUAAAAAACGACACACACACAAAAAAAGAACUCCACACAAGACCUCUUUUAUUUAUUAAUUUGACAAUUCUGUCUUUUUCUAACAGCAGCUGCCAUUAAAACCGAAAGUUACAACCCUGACAUGAUUAUAUGUUUUACAGAGAAUCGAUCAGAAGCGCGCGCGACACUCCAGACACAAUCUAUGAAGACCUGCAGCUCGACGGACCUCUGACCACAACUUCGUCGUUACUCUCUUCUUUAUCUUCUGUUCUCCAGAGCGAGAAGCUGCUAGCUGGUCUGCUCAGUUAAAGUUUGGUGUCGAAUUGUUGGCCUGCUGAAUCAAACAUGGAGUCAGAUUGAAGUGGACGUUGGACGCCUUCACCAAGCCCAAGUUCAGCGCCUUCACCAAGCCCUGUCCUGUCCAGCAGAUCUUUCUGUGACACAGGAGGUCUGCCCUCUUCAGUUCCUGCUUUGGAAAGUCUAUCACACACAAACACCUAGACUGAAUUGUAGUUCACAUUUGGGCAUGUUUGUGGAUUUAAAGUCAUCUUUGUGUUUGAUUGCUUACUUGCCACUUCUUCUUUGACCUGACUUCUGAGACACCAGACUUCUUCUAGAAGUUUUCAGACUCCUCCUCGGCUGCAUAUCAGACCCAUAUUCGCUCUCCUUUCUCUUCUGACUUGUUUUUGGUUUAACUGAAACCUUUCUUCCAGGGGGUUUUUUUCCCACUCUGCUUGAUUUCCGCGUGCUUGGCGACCUGUCUCUUACUGACUUCUUCCUUUCCAUCUCAGCAGGAAUAUCGAUCUCAUCCACAUCGAAAUAAGAGUAGAAGACCUCGUCAGCAGUUCUCUCCUCUUCCUCGCCCAGUUCAAUGUACACACUGGUGGAAAAGAAUUGCUGCCAGAAGUCUUCCCCGCUGGAACUUUUUUGUUUCUUCUUCCAGCUUCUGAUUAUGGAGUUGGGGAUGUAGCCGUCUGGAGCCGUGGGCCAUCUACUGCACUCCGUGUCUUCUUCAGCAUCGUCCGCCAUGACGCAAUAUUCAGCUGUCUCGCAAAGUUCAAACUUUUUCAUGUUGCUGAAACCACAGAACACAUCAGCACGGUACUAUUGAAGUUACGGUAGAGUGCAAGGCAGAUAUCUGGAAAAAAAAAAAUGUAACAAUGUAAAAGUAGUAUCAAUUUCAAAAAAAAAAAAAAAAGCCCAUGCCAUUUACAAUAUGUUGACCCUUCUCACUAAUAAUUCUCUUGGGAUUACAGCAACAAAAAACUUUUUUUUUUCCUUGGGCCCCCUCCACAGAUUCUCUAUGGGGUUUCAAAAUUAUUUUCAUUUUGGGCCAUAUUAAGGUCACAAAUAUUCUUAAGGGUUGGUUGUGGCAGAAUGUAUUCAUAAAACCACCCAUUAAUAAACUCUUAAAAUGUUAAAAGGUUAGUAUUAUGUGUUUUCUAGGUACAUAGAGCUAUUUUAUAACACAAUAAAGUAACUAUGACCUUCAGUUGUUAUAAAAAAAUACAAUAUAAUUCAAAUAUGAAUUCCUUGAAAUUGGGCCUCUGUUUCUUUAAAAACGCCUGUCCUUUCUGAAACUCCGUCCACAGGAUGUCAUCACAACAUAACAGAGGUAAAAGAUUCCUCUAUUGACCCUUUUACAACGUUUUUUUUUUUACCAGUGUUUAAUUUUCCUUUAUCUUUUAUCUUGGAAGUUCUAGAGGGCCACAUAAAUACUAAUGGUGGGCCAGAUUAGGCCCACUGGCCUUGAGUUUGACACAUGAGCUCUUUCAUCUUCAAGUCUGGACUCUGGCUGGUCCAUUUCAAACACUGAUAUCACUUCCAGAAAGAAAAGUAUUUUAGAAAAAUCUUAAUAUUAAUCCAUCUUAACUAAAUCUGCGGAAAGUUUCAGUAAUUUUAGGCUGAACUGUGCCUCAGGGUUUAUUUUUCCAUAGACAUGAGUGAACCACCAAAGCCCUUAAAUGCCAGAGAUUGGAAAUAGCAUAAGAGCAGUAUUUUGUAUCAUAAUAAAAAAAUAAAACUUGUUUAUGUUGGCAAAGCCUCACAGGAUGUUGUGCUGUCAUCUGGAAGAAACGGAGUGGGAAGACGGAGUGUUAAAGGGAGCUCCUUUUAUACCUUUUUAACAAGACAAUAAUGACUCGUCUUGUUAUAAUGAGAAACUGUCACGUUUUAAAGAGAUACCGCUCCUGUAUUCAUUUUCUAUUUCUGGCAGUUAAAAGCUUCCAUAUAAAUCUGUUUUUCUGUGACACAGAAAUAUUCUGGUUUCAUUUCUUUCUCACUCAAAGCUUCACUUAAAAGUUUCAUCAGUUACUCUAAGAGCAAAUGUUAGCAGAUAGUUAGCCUAGCAUGGCAUGAAUAAUAACAGUAACAGCUGAGAGGAAGUGUAGUUUUCCAUAAUUAAUUUUUUUAUUUAAACAUUUAUUACCUAAUAGUUAAACAGUCUGUGGAGAAAUUCAGUUUAUCUGUUCAAUUAACUUUCCAUUGACACAAUUUAUGAUAAAGCUAGCUGUUAGAGGUUGUUAUUUAGUUUUUCUUUUUUAACCAAAGUAGCAAUAUUUUUUAAAACUAUAACUUCAAAUAUCUUUGUAAUUCUUUUGUGUUCUGUUUACUCGUUACAAUGACUUUUUCCCCUCGUUAACUAACUCUAGACAUUUAAUUUGACCUUUUGAAUAAUUAUUAAAACAGUUCUUCCUGUUUCCACCUACCUCCUCCCUCUCAGCCUGGCAGAACUCCUCCUGCCUGUUGCCGUCCACAUUCAUUUUAAAUAAAAACAUCAGUUAUCAGUUCAGUGACAGUUGAAGGCACUUUAUUUUAUUGGCUUGGAUUUCUAUUUAGUUUUGAAACUGAAGUCCUUUCUGAUGUGGGGGGGAAAAAGCCACCCAUUCAGUAAAGUGCAUCGUCAUUUUUCCGUGAGCUUUUUAACAUUUUGGCACAUUACGACCACAAUUGUGUUUAAUGGCUUAUAAACACAGCUUAUUUUGAAAUCACAAAGCGAGUCUCUGUUUUUCAGUAUCCAAAGAAUGAUGUUCUCUUUUAUUUAAAGGUUGGAUGUGAAUACAUUUAUAAUUGUAACAGAAGCAAGAGCAGAAAUAUCCAGACUAGGCAGAACGAUGAAGCUGUCCGGCUGUUAAAUUACUGUUAGAUGAAAACCACAAAUGAACAAUGGAUAGCUUUCUCUCUUAAAAGUUAUUGCCGAGGAAAGAAUGUUUGCCUGUUUUCAUAGCAACUGGAUCAAAAGUACAAUUUAAAAACCAAAUGGAGAUCGUCACACACACAAAAAAAAAAUCAUAUGCUGGCCCUGCUUCUUUCCCCCAGACA